CUGGGCUUGACAUGUCCAGUAUGGGCCCCAGAGAUGGGGUCCUUCAGUUCGGCUGGCUGGAACACAGGUGCUGCAUGGCUGUCGUCAGCUCGUGUCGUGAGAUGUUGGGUUAAGUCCCGCAACGAGCGCAACCCUCGCCCUUAGUUGCCAUCAUUCAGUUGGGCACUCUAAGGGGACUGCCGGUGAUAAGCCGCGAGGAAGGUGGGGAUGACGUCAAGUCCUCAUGGCCCUUACAGGUUGGGCUACACACGUGCUACAAUGGCGGUGACAAUGGGCAGCGAAGGGGCGACCUGGAGCUAAUCCCAAAAAGCCGUCUCAGUUCAGAUUGCACUCUGCAACUCGAGUGCAUGAAGGUGGAAUCGCUAGUAAUCGUGGAUCAGCACGCCACGGUGAAUACGUU
rnacentral:rRNA from 1 species